UCAAACUGGGAUUAGAUACCCCACUAUGCCUAGCCCUAAAUCUAGAUACCUCCCAUCACACAUGUAUCCGCCUGAGAACUACGAGCACAAACGCUUAAAACUCUAAGGACUUGGCGGUGCCCCAAACCCACCUAGAGGAGCCUGUUCUAUAAUCGAUAAUCCACGAUUCACCCAACCACCCCUUGCCAGCACAGCCUACAUACCGCCGUCGCCAGCCCACCUCUAAUGAAAGAACAACAGUGAGCUCAAUAGCCCCUCGCUAAUAAGACAGGUCAAGGUAUAGCCUAUGGGGUGGGAGAAAUGGGCUACAUUUUCUAACAUAGAACAAACGAAAAAGGACGUGAAACCCGCCCUUAGAAGGAGGAUUUAGCAGUAAAGUGAGAUCAUACCCCCUAAGCUCACUUUAAGACGGCUCUGAGGCACGUACACACCGCCGGUCACCCUCA
rnacentral:rRNA from 1 species